CCGGGAGCGGCCCGUUCAACAGGGAGGGGAACUGUGAAAGAGUCAGAAAGCAAACAGAACAUUGAGGUAUAAAAAAUGGCAUUUUAAAAGGAAAAAAACAGAUGAGCAGCAAGAGUUUUCCACACCGCAGCCAAUAACGUCAGGAACGACAGUCAUGUGACCAACCAGAAAACUCCCACUACAGCCGACCACGGAGGAAGUGAGAGUGGGGGAGUGAGUGUACGCAUCUGUCUGUAUGUGUGUGUGUGUGUGUGGUAGUACAAAAUGCACAUCAAGAACUGUCACUAUCCCUGUAAAGGCAGAGUCAAGCAGUCGCUGUGAUUACCAUAAUGGUUUCCUGCUGCCUAGC